rnacentral:rRNA from 1 species
GGCGGCGUGCCUAAUACAUGCAAGUCGAGCGAGCGGAACUAACAGAUUUACUUCGGUAAUGACGUUAGGAAAGCGAGCGGCGGAUGGGUGAGUAACACGUGGGGAACCUGCCCCAUAGUCUGGGAUACCACUUGGAAACAGGUGCUAAUACCGGAUAAGAAAGCAGAUCGCAUGAUCAGCUUUUAAAAGGCGGCGUAAGCUGUCGCUAUGGGAUGGCCCCGCGGUGCAUUAGCUAGUUGGUAAGGUAAAGGCUUACCAAGGCGAUGAUGCAUAGCCGAGUUGAGAGACUGAUCGGCCACAUUGGGACUGAGACACGGCCCAAACUCCUACGGGAGGCAGCAGUAGGGAAUCUUCCACAAUGGACGCAAGUCUGAUGGAGCAACGCCGCGUGAGUGAAGAAGGUUUUCGGAUCGUAAAGCUCUGUUGUUGGUGAAGAAGGAUAGAGGUAGUAACUGGCUUUUAUUUGACGGUAAUCAACCAGAAAGUCACGGCUAACUACGUG